rnacentral:lncRNA from 1 species
CACGAUGUAGAGGGCUGACUGGGUGGCAUGAUCUUACACCUGUGGAAUCUGCAAAAUGGACCCUAUGGAAGCAGCGCAGAAUGACAAUUACUAGAGACUGGGAGAGGGAAGAAGUUUUAGAGGUUUCAGUUCAUGGUCACCUGGCUUCAAGGCAGAAGCGUCUUGGCAGUGGGACAUGGAGAAGGAAACCUGCUCACCUGUGGUAGCUGGGAAGCGAAGGCAAGAGCCAGAGAAAAGGGGGCCAUUGACAAACUAGAGUCCUCCAAAUCACACUCCCUGACCCACUCCCUUCACCUAACCCUGCCACCUGUUUCCACGGUCUUCCAACAAUACUAUCAGAGCAUUAUCUCAUCAGUUGAAUAAUCCACUGAUAAAUUUAGAGCCCGUAUAUCCAAUUGCCUUCGGAAAGGGGAGAGGUAUUUUAGAUCUAAACCAUGACAACUGUGUAUUUCAAAAUAACUAAAGAGCAGAUUCAAAUGGAUUUCUUUGGUUUAAUUAUUCUAAGAAGAUGAACCAUGAGGUAAUUUAAGGGAAGAACUAGUUUUGUGCAGAAUGUGGAUAAAUGGAAAGGACCACAAUUUUAAUACAGAGAAUGUGUAAUCGAAGAGCCCAAGUCAGAAAUUCUCCUCACCGGAUCCCUUACAGUACUAUGGAAGGACUGGUCUCAGCAGGGAUGUGUGUCACAAAUAUGGAAGACUGGGAAUCAAACGAGGUUUGAACAGUAUCAUUCAAUCUACAAAUAUUUGCCUUCAAAAUACCUUUUUCACACAUGCAACACUGGUCUCAUAUUUUGAGACACUUCCAAUUUACAAAGCUUCAUCUCUGCGGUUCCUUGAUGUAGGCUGAGCACACGUUAACCACACUGUUUUUCAGAGGGACUGAAGUCUGGGAAGGCUCAGUGACUUGGCAGAGAUCACAUAAUCAGCAACCAGCGGGUCCUCUGGCUCUGCUACAGCUGCCUCAAGACUACAGAGCAAGGCAAGCUACACCUGCCAUGAAUUUCCAUAUUCCACUUCUAAUGGUGCCGCAGGCUGUCCCCUCAUAUAAUUAGCUCCUCUGUGGAACCCGGUGUAUCUAGGACAAAGACAGUGGAUCUGCUUGAAUGGAAUAAGUAGUGAAGAGCUGAGCUCUAUCCACUGGGAAAUCCCUGAACAACAGCGAUCAAACUUUGAGGUUCUAAAGUAUAAGUUCAUGGCCCAGGAUGUAGCUCAGUGGUGGAGUACUUGCCUCACAUGCAUGAGGCCCUGAGUUGGAGCUACAGAACCGCCAAGAGAAAAUGCAGAUUUGGCCCACAGCAGGUAUGUACUCCUGGUGCCCAACUGGUCUAACUCCACACACCAUCAAACCCAUCCUGCUACUUUCCCAGACCAGCAUCCAUGCUCAUGACACAACUUCCCCUUGAAUCUCAG